rnacentral:tRNA from 1 species
UGCGGUGUGGCCAAACGGUAAGGCGGUGGCCUGUUAAGCCAACGAUUGAAGGUUCGAGUCCUUCCACCGCAG